ensembl:lncRNA
GGAUGGUUGAAGAUGAAACAUAAUGGUUGCCAAACAGUGGCAGCAAUACGGCAACUCUCCCAAAGGGGGCAUGAUACAUUUCACAGGGCAGGGUGGAAGCCUGGAGUGCCUGCAUGCCUGUGUGUGUGUGUGUGUGUGUGUGUGUGUGUGUGUGUUUGUGUGUUUGUGUGUGUGUGUGUGUGUGUGUGUGUGUGUGCUUCCUCACAUGUGGCGGAGCCCAGAGAGCCUCAGAGUGGGUCUGUCAUGCGGUCCCGCGGUGCUGAUCGGGAAGGACCCAAAAGCCACACCAAAACCAACACGAUAAGACCAGAGAGAGACGCCACAGAUGAGUAUGAGUAGAAAGGCAGCAGCUCAGUUGGACUGGCAAGGUGAUGAAACAAGGAAUUGCCCAAUAGACGCUGAAGAAUUGUUGAGUGCCCAUCUGCAAGCGAUCAGCCGGAGUCGUGAGCAGGCCCUUGGGUUCAUCAGUUUUCACCUGAGCCAGGAGUGAAAUGAAACCCAUAGGUGGCCCAGUGCCAACACAAACACAUGCAAUCCUUGACUGUUUUGGAACAAAGAAGAAGAAAUCAGAAGAGAGAAACUGCAGAUGUGUCGGUGCCAAGUAUUCCUUGACAUAUCCGACUUCCUAUGAACUCGUAUCCCUGAGCAACACUGUCAGCUGGAGUAGCCUCCAAUAGAAACACAGCACAGCUAACACUCUAAUCAGUCUCACCUAAUUACGCAAUGUCCUUUCAUUCCUUAGCACUAAAGGAUGUGUAAAGUGUUGAUAGGUAUUGUUCUGUUCCAAUGACAGUGGAGCAGACUUGUCUCAAUCUGCAGCCCAUGGCUUCCAUUUCUCUGUGCAGGGCAGCGAGGGGGGAAAAAUCUCACCAAGGGUGUUUUUUUUUAAUCAUUUUUUUCAUUGUUUUUUUUCCAUCUCUCUUAUUUCACAUAAAAAUACAUCUUGCGGUGUGUGUUUGAUCUGGUUCAGCUGACAGUGAGAGAGACAUAUCAAAUGGUCUCAUCUAAGAGGUUUGGUCUCAUGCAUUUCGUGUGAAUGUUAAGCGUGAUGAUUUGGGGUGACUUGCCACAGACGCUGCUGGGUGUUCAUUACAUCCACUGCACAGCACUCUGUCAUCCUUAUCUGGUUUAGCAAUGCUAACUAAAACCACACUGUUCACAGUGUACUCUAAAACACGUCUGCCAGCUUUCAUGCCAUAGUUACGUGUAUCUAAAACUACAUUAUUCACAGUGUACUCUAAAACAUGUCAUUCCAGCAUUCAUGCUAUGAUUAUGUGUCUCUGAUUACUGGUACCACCGAACUCCUUGUGACUCUUCUGUUCUGGCAUGCUGUUGCUGUUCAGCUGUAGUGACUGUUGAACAAACAUGGCAAAAUGUACUACAUUUAGAGAAGGCCAUGCUGAACAUGAAUUUAGCGGAGUCAGAGAAAUGGAAUGUGUAGACAGCUAGGGAGCCCCUGUAAAGCCAUGCAUGGGGUUGAAAAAAUGUUGCAACCUUUUUGCUGUAACCUUCAUUAAUGUUAACAUUUACUUCUGGCCUCGUCUCAGCAGCUAAAGGGUUAUCCACUAAGCCGUAAGUGUGUAUCCUCCGAACCCUAACCCGAGCCGAUUGGAAAUGAAAGAGUGUUAUUUAACGCAUUGUGUUUAAAAUGCGCAUACUGCAGUAGGUCCACUGACACCAAAGCUGCGAAGAGAAACAGAUCCAAUGUGACACUCGCUUCCCUUUAGCUCCACGUUCUGAAAAUCGCAUCAAGACAUAUAAGGCCUAACCUCAAUACAUCAGCCCAUAUAUUUAAUCCAUUUAAUCUGAAACAGGCUCUAUUUUUUGGCAGAUUUAGUUUGGGUCUCACGGAUUACAGGCAAAUUUAGCAGCGGCUCUUGUUUUGCCCGUCUCACCACCUCAUAUAUAGCGUCAGUGUGAAAGCAGCACAGCUCUGGGAUCUGCUUGCAUGGGUAAUGGUUGGGGUGAGCUUCAUGCAUUAUAGAUUACAGGCCAGGGAUUCCCAUGGAGAGAUGAUUACUUAAUUAUCCAUCGUUAGCACAGAGCCAAAUACCACUGGUGCGGCAGGACCUCCCCCUCCAUAAAUUUACACACACACACACACACACACACACCCACACACACACACACACACACACACACACACACACACACACACACACACACACCCACACAGUUAGUUAGUGGGUGGAUACUUGAAACACACACACACAUAGUUAGUGGGUGGAUACUCAUUUACUUACACACACACACACACAAAGACACAGGCACGCAUACUUAGUUAGUGGGUGGAUACACACACACACACACACAUAGUAAGUGGGUGGAUACAUACACCCCCCCCCCCCCACACACACACACACACACACUGACAUGUGCUCAGUGGGUGAAUACACACGCACACACACACACUGUCAAUUACAAGCAGUGCUCAUUAGGCAUUAAAACAAGCAAGUACUGCGAGGCAACUCUGACCCAUUUAUUAGUUUAAGCGAAUUCGUGAAAACGUGCCUCUUGGCCUCAGAGACUCCAGGCUGACGUAAUGUGAUUCUUCUGAACCCUGCUGAUUUCUGUUGAAUUUAAUGAAAAACACAUCCAAAUCAGUCUGCAGGUCCCUCGUUUGGCAUUCUGUUUCUUCCCAGAAAACUCCAUUUAUUCAUUCAUUUUUCAGCACAGUGGUGGAACAGGGGGCCUCAUUUGCAAAUGUUCUUCUGCAGCUCAGUGGUGUGGAUCUGUGGAAGCCGUCGUGUUAGUUCUCCUCCUUCACAAGGUUGGCAACAUUUGACCUGAAAUAAGGUGUCAGAAGUGCACAACAACAUAGGAAGAAAAACAACAGGAACGUCACAUGCCCACACACGCCUACACAUACACAGAUGCACACAGUAUAUACUCAUAUGACCCCCCACCCCAUCCCCCAACACACACAUGCACAGACAAACAGACAAUCCAGUUCCACCAUGAGGGCACAUGGGGUUGUUCCAUCAUCAUUGCGCUCCGGGAGUUUGGGGUGUGUGUGUGCGCCAGGUCUCAGGAUGUGUGGCCAUAUCAAUCCAGAGCGCCCUCAUCUGCUCCGUCUGCUGGAACACAUUACAGUGGGUUUUAUGAGCUGCCAACACACACAGUAGGUAGGACCGUCUCUGAAGCUUUAUUAAUUACUGGCAGCAGAUGAAAGCUCAAAUCAAAGAUGACUUGGUAAACGCUUCCACAUGCGAGACGCUCGGAGUUAGACCCUCCAUCAGCGCAGGGCAGUCGCUAUCACUCGACGCUCAGAGGAUUGGCCAGCUCCGACGAUGGCUGCACCUACCACCUCAUUUACAUAUCUACAGCUCUGUAUUUUAGGAUUAUACAAGUAAA